ACUCCACAUACGCAUCCUUUGCUGAGGAUACGGUUAACGGAGCGAAAGCGACGUUCAACCUCAAAAGAAGCAGAGGGGGCUUAGUGGUGGGGUGACUGCGUACCUUUUGUAUAAUGGGUCAGCGACUUAUAUUCUGUAGCAAGGUUAACCGAAUAGGGGAGCCGGAGGGAAACCGAGUCUUAACCGGGCGUUAAGUUGCAGGGUAUAGACCCGAAACCCGGUGAUCUAGCCAUGGGCAGGUUGAAGGUUGGGUAACACUAACUGGAGGACCGAACCGACUAAUGUUGAAAAAUUAGCGGAUGACCUGUGGCUGGGGGUGAAAGGCCAAUCAAACCGGGAGAUAGCUGGUUCUCCCCGAAAGCUAUUUAGGUAGCGCCUCGUGAAUUCAUCUCCGGGGGUAGAGCACUGUUUCGGCUAGGGGGUCAUCCCGACUUACCAACCCGAUGCAAACUGCGAAUACCGGAGAAUGUUAUCACGGGAGACACACGGCGGGUGCUAACGUCCGUCGUGAAGAGGGAAACAACCCAGACCGCCAGCUAAGGUCCCAAAGUCAUGGUUAAGUGGGAAACGAUGUGGGAAGGCCCAGACAGCCAGGAUGUUGGCUUAGAAGCAGCCAUCAUUUAAAGAAAGCGUAAUAGCUCACUGGUCGAGUCGGCCUGCGCGGAAGAUGUAACGGGGCUAAACCAUGCACCGAAGCUGCGGCAGCGAACGUAUCACCCAAGACAACUUUACGGAGUUGACGAUUGAUGGAGCGAAGCGACGUCAAAGCGUUCAUUAAAGUCGAGUUGGCUUAGGGAUACGUUCGUUGGGUAGGGGAGCGUUCUGUAAGCCUGUGAAGGUGGCCUGUGAGGGUUGCUGGAGGUAUCAGAAGUGCGAAUGCUGACAUAAGUAACGAUAAAGCGGGUGAAAAGCCCGCUCGCCGGAAGACCAAGGGUUCCUGUCCAACGUUAAUCGGGGCAGGGUGAGUCGACCCCUAAGGCGAGGCCGAAAGGCGUAGUCGAUGGGAAACGGGUUAAUAUUCCCGUACUUGGUGUUACUGCGAAGGGGGGACGGAGAAGGCUAUGUUGGCCGGGCGACGGUUGUCCCGGUUUAAGCGUGUAGGUGUGUGUUCCAGGUAAAUCCGGUUCACUUUAACACUGAGGCGUGAUGACGAGGCACUACGGUGCUGAAGCAACAAAUGCCCUGCUUCCAGGAAAAGCCUCUAAGCAUCAGGUAACAUCAAAUCGUACCCCAAACCGACACAGGUGGUCAGGUAGAGAAUACCAAGGCGCUUGAGAGAACUCGGGUGAAGGAACUAGGCAAAAUGGUGCCGUAACUUCGGGAGAAGGCACGCUGACACGUAGGUGAAGUGAUUUACUCACGGAGCUGAAGUCAGUCGAAGAUACCAGCUGGCUGCAACUGUUUAUUAAAAACACAGCACUGUGCAAACACGAAAGUGGACGUAUACGGUGUGACGCCUGCCCGGUGCCGGAAGGUUAAUUGAUGGGGUCAGCGCAAGCGAAGCUCCUGAUCGAAGCCCCGGUAAACGGCGGCCGUAACUAUAACGGUCCUAAGGUAGCGAAAUUCCUUGUCGGGUAAGUUCCGACCUGCACGAAUGGCGUAAUGAUGGCCAGGCUGUCUCCACCCGAGACUCAGUGAAAUUGAACUCGCUGUGAAGAUGCAGUGUACCCGCGGCAAGACGGAAAGACCCCGUGAACCUUUACUAUAGCUUGACACUGAACAUUGAGCCUUGAUGUGUAGGAUAGGUGGGAGGCUUUGAAGCGUGGACGCCAGUCUGCGUGGAGCCGACCUUGAAAUACCACCCUUUAAUGUUUGAUGUUCUAACGUGGACCCGUUA
rnacentral:rRNA from 1 species